CGGAGGGUGAUCCGAUCCGGGGAUCGGCGCGGUCUCGAAAACCGAGGGCACCUUCGCGGUGUGGAGUUCGACUCUUCCGCCCUCCU
rnacentral:tRNA from 1 species